ACCAUUAAGAAGUAGACGCCCAGAUGCAAAAGUGAUGAAACAGUCAAUUUGUCAUAAAGUAAGAUGCAGCUGUGGCUUUUCAACCAGAUUAGAACAGAAUUGUAUCUAUUCUUCUCAGAAGAGAAUUCCACAAGUGUUCGGACUGUACUGGGGACCUAUGUGGGUCCCUGAUAUCAGAUGAUCUGGAAAGU